ensembl:snRNA LOC120093914 U6 spliceosomal RNA
GCUUGUUUUGGCAUUUACUAAAAUUGGAAGCACACAGAGACGAUUAGCACAGCCCCUAUGCAAGGAUGACAAGAAAACACUGCAAGUGAUCCAUACGUUU